GGGGAAUAGGAGUUCACUCCCAACCCAUGUGAACAUACCUACUGUUGCUUCGGCGGGAUUGCCCCGGGCGCCUCGUGUGCCCCGGAUCAGGCGCCCGCCUAGGAAACUUAACUCUUGUUUUAUUUUGGAAUCUUCUGAGUAGUUUUUACAAAUAAAUAAAAACUUUCAACAACGGAUCUCUUGGUUCUGGCAUCGAUGAAGAACGCAGCGAAAUGCGAUAAGUAAUGUGAAUUGCAGAAUUCAGUGAAUCAUCGAAUCUUUGAACGCACAUUGCGCCCGCCAGUAUUCUGGCGGGCAUGCCUGUCUGAGCGUCAUUUCAACCCUCAUGCCCCUAGGGCGUGGUGUUGGGGAUCGGCCAAAGCCCGCGAGGGACGGCCGGCCCCUAAAUCUAGUGGCGGACCCGUCGUGGCCUCCUCUGCGAAGUAGUGAUAUUCCGCAUCGGAGAGCGACGAGCCCCUGCCGUUAAACCCCCAACUUUCCAAGGUUGACCUCAGAUCAGGUAGGAAUACCCGCUGAACUUAAGCAUAUCAAAAGGCGGAGGAAACAACAGGAGCGGACAACUCUAUACCGUGGGGGCCUACCCUCGGGUGCUCUUGGCCGAUUGCCUGGCGCUCCCCUACGGGAUGAGACCGCAAAUGAACUUAA
rnacentral:rRNA from 1 species